rnacentral:rRNA from 1 species
ACCCGCUGAACUUAAGCAUAUCAAUAAGCGGAGGAAAAGAAACCAACAGGGGUUGCCCUAGUAACGGCGAGUGAAGCGGCAACAGCUCAAAUUUGAAAUCUGGCGUCUUUGGCGUCCGAGUUGUAAUUUGCAGAGGGCGCUUUGGCAUUGGCAGCGGUCCAAGUUCCUUGGAACAGGACGUCACAGAGGGUGAGAAUCCCGUACGUGGUCGCUAGCCUUUACCGUGUAAAGCCCCUUCGACGAGUCGAGUUGUUUGGGAAUGCAGCUCUAAAUGGGAGGUAAAUUUCUUCUAAAGCUAAAUACUGGCCAGAGACCGAUAGCGCACAAGUAGAGUGAUCGAAAGAUGAAAAGCACUUUGGAAAGAGAGUUAAAAAGCACGUGAAAUUGUUGAAAGGGAAGCGCUUGCAGCCAGACUUGCCUGUGGUUGCUCAUCCGGGUUUUUACCCGGUGCACUCUUCUAUAGGCAGGCCAGCAUCAGUUUGGGCGGUUGGAUAAAGGUCUCUGUCAUGUACCUCUCUUCGGGGAGAACUUAUAGGGGAGACGACAUGCAACCAGCCCGGACUGAGGUCCGCGCAUCUGCUAGGAUGCUGGCGUAAUGGCUGU